AGUAAUGUCUGGGAAACUGCCUGAUGGAGGGGGGUAACUACUGGAAACGGUAGCUAAUACCGCAUAAUGUCGCAAGACCAAAGUGGGGGACCUUCGGGCCUCAUGCCAUAAGAUGUGCCCAGAUGGGAUUAGCUAGUAGGUGGGGUAACGGCUCACCUAGGCGACGAUCCCUAGCUGGUCUGAGAGGAUGACCAGCCACACUGGAACUGAGACACGGUCCAG
rnacentral:rRNA from 1 species